CAAAUUAGAGCUUGUUUAAGUAAAGCAUUUUAUUUACAUUAAAAAGUUAUUGUGCAAAUCAAUUUAAUUUGA
rnacentral:tRNA from 1 species